rnacentral:rRNA from 1 species
GACGAACGCUGGCGGCGUGCUUAACACAUGCAAGUCGAACGGAAAGGCCCUGCUUUUGUGGGGUGCUCGAGUGGCGAACGGGUGAGUAACACGUGAGUAACCUGCCCUUGACUUUGGGAUAACUUCAGGAAACUGGGGCUAAUACCGGAUAGGAGCUCCUGCUGCAUGGUGGGGGUUGGAAAGUUUCGGCGGUUGGGGAUGGACUCGCGGCUUAUCAGCUUGUUGGUGGGGUAGUGGCUUACCAAGGCUUUGACGGGUAGCCGGCCUGAGAGGGUGACCGGCCACAUUGGGACUGAGAUACGGCCCGGACUCCUACGGGAGGCAGCAGUGGGGAAGAUUGCACAAUGGGCGGAAGCCUGAUGCAGCAACGCCGCGUGCGGGAUGACGGCCUUCGGGUUGUAAACCGCUUUCGCCUGUGACGAAGCGUGAGUGACGGUAAUGGGUAAAGAAGCACCGGCUAACUACGUG